rnacentral:tRNA from 1 species
UAGCAGGUAAACUAUUUUUAAGUUGCUGGGUUCAUAGCCCUUUUAAGGUUUGUAGCCUCUGCUCU